rnacentral:rRNA from 1 species
GUCUACAGCCAUGCCACCCUGAACAUGCCCAAUCUCGUCUGAUCUCGAAAGCUAAGCAAGGUCGGGCCUGGUUAGUACUUGGAUGAAAGACCACCUAGGAAGAUGGAGUGCUGUAGGUA